UGACCUUAGAAACGAAGUGGCGGACGGGUGAGUAAUGUCUCGUUUAAACUGCCUGAUGGAGGGGGAUAACUACUGGAAACGGUAGCUAAUACCGCAUAACGUGCAAGACCCAAAAGGGGGACUUCGGGCCUCUUGCCCUCGGAUGGGGCCAAAUGGGAAUUACUUGGUGGUGGGGGAACGGGUCCCCCAAGGGACCAUCCCUAACUGGUCUGAAAAGAUGACCCACCACACUGGAACUGAAACACCGGCCCAACUCCUACCGGGAGGCCACAGUGGGAAAUAUUGCACAAUGGGCGCCCUCCUGAUGCAAUCAUGCCGCGUGAAUAAAGAACGCCUUCUGGUAGAAAAGUUCUUUCAGCGGAAAAGGAAGGGAGUAAAAUUAAUACCUUUGCUC
rnacentral:rRNA from 1 species